AAAAUGGCGAAGAGCUCAAAAAAGAGCAAAGAAGAAGAGGAGAUUGUUGAUUCUGGCGAUGAUGCUUGGUGGUGGUUGGUGCACAAGGGAAUUACACCUUCAUUCUUGUGCAUUGCAUUGUUUUCUCUUUUGGUUCGAGUCGCUGUCUCACUCCAUCCUUACUCUGGUGCUGCAACUCCUCCCAAGUUUGGCGACUUUGAAGCCCAGCGGCAUUGGAUGGAAAUCACCCUUAAUCUCCCACUCAACGAAUGGUAUCGAAACACUACCCUCAAUGAUCUCAGCUACUGGGGUCUCGACUACCCUCCUCUCACUGCGUAUCAGAGUUAUGUCCAUGGUCUUUUCAUCAGAUUCUUUAGUCCUGAAUCAGUUGCUCUUUUCACCUCCCGCGGCCACGAGUACUAUUUGGGGUUUGUAACAUGACCCAUUGAAAUUUCGUUUGUAACUCUACCAUAGACUUUUCCUUCAUUCGAAAUGUUCUUUCUUGCAAGAAACUUCUUAUGAGGUGGACAGUGUUAUCGUCCGAUGCCUUGGUGUUCUUUCCUGCUGUUUUUUAUUUUAUUGUUGUUUACUAUACUGGCCGUAAUCAGAGUGGCCGUAUGUAUGGCAGAGCAUGGCACAUUGCAAUAAUUUUACUCAAUCCGUGCUUGAUCUUAAUUGAUCAUGGUCAUUUCCAGUAUAAUUGCAUCAGCUUGGGUCUGACUGUGGGAGCUAUUGCUGCUAUUCUUUCUGACAAAGAUCUUCUAGCCUGUGUCUUAUACAGCCUUGCUCUCAACCACAAACAGUAGAACAGUGGAUAGAGCCAGAGAGAGGCAUUUGACAGAAGGAAGUAGAAAUAUCUCAUCAUCAAUUUGCAGACAAUACAAUCCAGAGAGAUAGAGAAGAACGAUCCAGAGAGACAUGGAGAGAUUGGGUGUGACAGAAGCAUACUAGAAAGAGAGAGAGAGAGAGAGAGAGAGAGAGAGAGAGAGAGAGAGAGAGAGAAGACCUCCAUCCGUCCGCACGGGCAGCCUCGAUUCGAAGAAAGUCCCUCGCCCUCAAUCGUCAGCCACUGCUUGACGGUCCCGAUUCCGAUCGCAAUCAACAUCAGCAGAACCUUGAUUCAAUUUCACAUCUAGGUGGUUAAUUACAACAACUUCAAGUGAGUGCCCACAAACAUAGAGUUAUUAGCACAUCAUCAUUCACAGCAAAAGAACAGCAUCAGGAGAAGAAAAACAGCCAGCUAAUCAACUGAAGCAUUUUGUACCCUGGAGUAACUAUUUUUUGUGUACACACUCCAGCACCGCUUUUUGGAAACCAGCUCUAUCUUCAAGAACCUGCAUCAACUACAUUCUGAACACUUCUGCUAAGUUCUACUCAGUUACCCUGUUAAAAGUUGUAUUUUUGAUCUUUGUGAGUUUGAAUGAAUUACCUUUCUAGCAUUCAAUCAUUUUGAAGGACAACCUUUUUCUUUUUUUUACUUCUGGUAUGCCUAAAUGAAUACUUUUUAGCAUUUUCCAUGAACUUGCAUAUAUGAUUGCUUUUAAACAUAA